rnacentral:rRNA from 1 species
GAUGAACGCUGGCGGCGUGCCUAACACAUGCAAGUCGAGCGAAGCGCUUAAAUUAGAUUUCUUCGGAAUGACGAUUUUUGUGACUGAGCGGCGGACGGGUGAGUAACGCGUGGGUAACCGGCCUCAUACAGGGGGAGAACCGUUAGAAAUGACAGAUAAUACCGCAUAAGACCCCAGCGUCGCAUGAAGCGGUGGUAAAACCUCCGGUGGUAUGAGAUGGACCCGCGUCUGAUUAGCUAGUAGGUAAGGUAACGGCUUACCAAGGCGACGAUCAGUAGCCGACCUGAGAGGGUGACCGGCCACAUUGGGACUGAGCCACGGCACAGACUCCUACGGGAGGCAGCAGUGGGGAAUAUUGCACAAUGGGGGAAACCCUGAUGCAGCGACGCCGCGUGAAGGAUGAAGUAUUUCGGUAUGUAAACUUCUAGCAGCAGGGAAGAAAGUGACGGUACCUGACCAAGAAGCCCCGGCUAACUACGUG